GGUUAAGCGACUAAGCGUACACGGUGGAUGCCCUGGCAGUCAGAGGCGAUGAAGGACGUGCUAAUCUGCGAUAAGCGCCGGUAAGGUGAUAUGAACCGUUAUAACCGGCGAUWYCCGAAUGGGGAAACCCAGUGUGACUCGUCACACUAUCAUUAACUGAAUCCAUAGGUUAAUGAGGCGAACCGGGGGAACUGAAACAUCUAAGUACCCCGAGGAAAAGAAAUCAACCGAGAUUCCCCCAGUAGCGGCGAGCGAACGGGGAGGAGCCCAGAGCCUGAAUCAGCAUGUGUGUUAGUGGAAGCGUCUGGAAAGGCGCGCGAUACAGGGUGACAGCCCCGUACACAAAAGCGCAUGUGCUGUGAG
rnacentral:rRNA from 1 species